rnacentral:lncRNA from 1 species
GGGCGUCAAAUCUAGCAGCAUAAAACCAUUUUUGAUGUGAGAUAUGGAGGAGCCUUUCUCUCAAAAGGACUUCUUCCUUGAGGCAUCAAAAGUAUGCUAAGAGGCAUGAAACCUCUCCCUGGUUUAGCAUGAAUUUUUUAGAGGCGUGAAGAUAUUCUUCACAUGGAGAUCGGAAGCAAGAAAAACCUCCUGCUAUUUUAGCAUGGAGUUCCCC